GCACGAGAAAGUUCCCGCAAGGGAGCGAGUAAAGUGGCAGACGGGUGAGUAACACGUGAACAACAUACCUACCUGCGGGGGACAACGGCCCGAAAGGGCCGCUAAUACCGCAUGAUAUCAUCGUGAGGCAUCUCGUGAUGAUCAAAGGUCGCAAGACUGCGGGUAGAUCGGUUCGCGUUCCAUUAGCUUGGCGGUGAGGUAACGGCUUACCGAAUUGGCGACAAUGGAUAGCUGGUCUGAGAGGAUGACCAGCCACACUGGAACUGAGACACGGUCCAGACUCCUACGGGAGGCAGCAGUGAGGAAUCUUCCACAAUGGACGAAAGUCUGAUGGAGCGACGCCGCGUGCGGGAUGAAGGCCUUCGGGUUGUAAACCGCUUUUGCAGGGGACGAUAAUGACGGUACUCUGCGAAUAAGCAUCGGCUAACUACGUG
rnacentral:rRNA from 1 species